UCAAGGUAGGAUUCAAGAUCUUGUCGUGGCAGUGUACGUAGCUAUGGUUAAAACGCGAGGCUUAUUAGUGUCCAAUUGAGUUGCAUGUGGAGUUUGAGGAGGACGCAAUCUGGUUUACAUAGACAACAGGGGGAGCUUGGGAUUUUUAGAAACAAACGUCAGAUUACAACACAAAAAUGUGAAUCAAUUUUUUCUGGAAUCUGGUUCAUGAGAGAACAAUUGGCUUUGCCCUGAAGUUAAAGAUGCUACAGAAGGAAGUUAAAAAAAAAAAAAACCGAAAAAGGGAAAAUAGUGCACUGACAUGUCUGAAGUGGGAACAAUAAAAGCUGACAAUCAUCAGUAAAUACCAAUUCUGGUGUGGCUAUUUCUCGAUCCGCAAGUGAGAUGGAAACAACGGGCUAAAAAUUCAGUGCAGGAAUCUUUACGUCAACCAGGAGGAAAACCAGCAAACGGACAUCGAUGGAAUUAAACAUAAAGGGCACAAACAGUUUCGCCGCGGCCUUGUGUCACUUCCUGUCGGCAAACUAAAGGAAGUACGUUAGAUUGCUUUAAACUACAAAAAGAAUAAUCGAGAAUUCAUGGAGUAUCUGCUUACCGAAUAGCAAAUACUCCGUUGCGGCGUAACUGACAUCAGUACUUAGAAACAGCCCCCUGAUUUUUGUAAAACCACAGCAUCGAUCGAUUUCAUCAUCGCCAGUUUCCUAUAUUUUGCUACGAUAUCUCAAGUAAAGCAUCGAAUUGGAAACACACUACGCAACAAGGGGCAAUUACAAUUUAGAACAACAACUGUAAAUCCAGGCCACUGUAUGUUACAGCAAAUCUAAACCAGCUAUUUCUUUUCUAAUGGUGCCUAUUGUUCCAAAUUCCCUUCAUCGUUAUUAUGUUUGAUCAAACAUAUUAUAAUUUCCGGCGCGUUUCUAAUACGUAUUAGCCAUUACCAUUUUCAACAUUGCGGAUACUUGAAAUAGGGAAAAAUGGAAAACUUUGAGUGGGUUUACCAUCAUACAAGUGAAAUUUAUAUAACCCAUUAUUUUGACUUUUGUUCAACAGGGCAGUUUCCGCGGGACCCGUGUUAUUUGUUUACGGUCUAUUCCCCAUAUCAGAGGGAGCUAGGACCGGCCUUGCGCUAAUCGGGAUGUUGUUUUGCCUAUUAGGGGAGGCAUUUCGGGGCGGGGCUUUCGGGGUGUGUUGC